rnacentral:sRNA from 1 species
CCCUAGCCUCGAUAAAAGUGAAAAUCCUUGUUGUUUUUUCUUUAAAAACAACAAGAUUGUAAUCUCUUCUUUAGGACGAGACGGGAA